GACCGCUGGCGGCAGGCUUAACACAUGUCAAGCUCGAGCGGUAGCACAGGGGAGCUUGCUCCCUGGGUGACGAGCGGCGGACGGGUGAGUAAUGUCUGGGAAACUGCCUGAUGGAGGGGGAUAACUACUGGAAACGGUAGCUAAUACCGCAUAACGUCGCAAGACCAAAGAGGGGGACCUUCGGGCCUCUUGCCAUCAGAUGUGCCCAGAUGGGAUUAGCUAGUAGGUGGGGUAAUGGCUCACCUAGGCGACGAUCCCUAGCUGGUCUGAGAGGAUGACCAGCCACACUGGAACUGAGACACGGUCCAGACUCCUACGGGAGGCAGCAGUGGGGAAUAUUGCACAAUGGGCGCAAGCCUGAUGCAGCCAUGCCGCGUGUGUGAACAAGGCCUUCGGGUUGUAAACCACUUUCAGCGAGGAGGAAGGUGGUGAGCUUAAUACGCUCAUUGUUUGACGUUUCUCGAAGAAGAAACACCGUCUAACUUCGUGCCAGCGGCCGCGGAAAUACGGAAGGGUUCCUGCGUUUAUC
rnacentral:rRNA from 1 species